rnacentral:snoRNA from 1 species
UUGGCCCUGAAUCAAGGCCAGCAGUUUGCUGAAGCUGUUGGUUUCAAACAGGAGCCUAAAGAAUUAUCUUUCUAUGGUCUCUUGGCCAUUUCAGAACUUUGGAAAUGUAAUGGUCAAUUCAUUAGAAAGAAACAUCU